UGAAUGUGGAGUGGAGCUUUUUAAGAUAUAAAAAGAACCCACCUAGUUGUGUGUAAUUUUACUAUUGCCAAAAUUUUCUAUUAUUCCAGUGAUUAUAUGGUGUUCAAUGAUGAAGACAAUAUUCGCCAUACAUUUGUUAUGGUUGGAGCUCAACUUCAACCAAAACUUAGCUAAAUUACUCUCUGGAACAUGCAUCAGCUGAAGCCAGCUGAUUGAUAACCAAUUCAAAGAAGAAAACUAGAAAUUGGGGUGGGGAAAAUGAUGAUAAAUAGAGAAGACAACAUAAAAUUCAGAUUGAAAGAAGAAGAAGAACAGCGAAGCAAAGAGAAAGGGGGGAAUUCGGUUUUGCACCAAAUCUUUCAAUAUUCAUCCCUAACUAUAUAUAGACCUAAAAACCCUAAAAUUAAAGGGCUUGGGCUAGCCCACUAAUAACACAAGCCCAAUUGAAUAAAAUAAAAGUAAAUGGCCCAAGCCACUUACUUUUAGGGUUGUUUAGGUCUAUAUAUAGUUGUAUCUCUACAUUUGGAAGAAAGGGAUGAAUAUUGAAAGCUUUGGAGCAAAACCUAAUUCCCCCCUUUCUCUUUGCAGUCUAUAACAUCAGAGUUAGAUACUUUUGUAUUGCUUUCCACCAUUUGAAAUUCCAUUGGCUCAACCCGCUCUACUUCCUCAUUUUCAAACUUCUCUCUCUCACCUAUCUCUAGCUCAAUCUCUGUCUCUCUCGGUUUUAGCAUUUAAUGCCUCUGAUGCCUCCCUCACAGCCACUGUUCCCACUCUUAUAUCAGCCACUAGAACCAAUUCUUCUAUCUCAUUUUCAUGAUCAUCCAACAAAAUUCUUGAACCAUCAUAAUUUUGGGAUUCUUCUUCAAUAGUUUCUGACCCCAGGAUGACUGGAAAUGAAUCCAUAAAACCAUAUGUCUGCCUUCUCCUUCAAGUACAUCUUUGCAACUCCCAAUCUAAGUUGAUCAGGAAUUUGAUGGAGUUGAAAAUAUUCCAUAGCUUCCCUCAACCAUUCCCUGGGCCGUUCUCCCCCAAAUUGGGAAAAAUCUAUUCUAGGGAAUCUACUAUUUCCCUUGAAUUCCCCUAUAGGACGAACAUGAUUCUCGCUACUACUAGCCCAUUGUGUAGUUAUCACACUCCCAGAACUGAAAUUAACAUUAGGCACCUCUAUUCCUUUAUUUUUCUGAUCCAUUUUAAGAUUUGAAGACAUUGGGUCAUCAUGGUCACUAAAUUUUCAAAUUUUUGAUUCAAUUCCAACAGAGCACCCUCAAAUAUCUCUUGCCGAUGAACAAGUACCUGGAGAUUUUAUUUUGUGGACUCCAAUUUAUUCUCCAAUCAGCUGGUAAGAGCUCUAAAGGAUGUGCCUAAAUCCCUUAUCUCCAAAUCCCGUUUCUUCCAAUCUUCAUCAACAACUUUGGCCCUUGUAUCCAUUACUAGUAAAUGCCCAGUUAAAUUUGCCUGCUAUGAUACCAUUUGUUAUGGUUGGAGCUCAACUUCAACCAAAACUUAGCUGGAACUUGCACCAGCAGAAUCCAGCUAAUUGAUAACCAAUUCAAAGAAGAAAAAUAAAAAUUAGGGUGGGGAAAAUGAUGAUAAAAAGAGAAGACAACAUAGAAUUUAGAUUGAAAGAAGGAGAACAGAGAAGCAAAGAGAAGGGGGGGAAUUCGGUUUUGCACCAAAGCUUUCAAUAUUCAUCCCUCUCUUCCAAAUGCAGAGAUACAACUAUAUAUAGAUGUAAACAACUACCCUAAAAGUAAAGCUUGGGCUAGCUCAAUUAAAUAAAAUAAAAGUAAAUGGG
rnacentral:lncRNA from 1 species